rnacentral:tRNA from 1 species
AGUAAAGUCAGCUAAUUAAUAUAAGCUAUUGGGUUCAUACCCCGGAAAUAAACUAAAUGUUUCUUUAUU